rnacentral:rRNA from 1 species
GACAGAGGUGGCAAGCGUUGUUCGGAUUUACUGGGCUUAAAGGGCGUGUAGGCGUCCUGGUAAGUCAGAUGUGGAAGCCUUGGGCUCAACCCAAGAAUUGCAUUUGAAACUAUCAGGAUUGAGUCGUGCAAGGGAGGGCGGAAUUCCUGGUGUAGCGGUGAAAUGCGUAGAUAUCAGGAGGAAGGCCGGUGGCGAAGGUGGCCCUCUGGGCAAUGACUGACGCUGAGGCGCGAAAGCGUGGGUAGCAAACAGGAUUAGAUACCCUGGUAGUCCACGCCCUAAACGGUGCGUACUAGGUGUGGGUGGCGAUAGUCAUCCGUGCCGAAGGGAAACCAUUAAGUACGCCGCCUGGGGAGUACGGCCGCAAGGUUGAAACUUAAAUGAAUUGACGG